GAACGCAUUCGCUCAACUCGCGCUCGUCAAAUCGUAGAUGAAAACGUAUAUAUAUACGUAUUUCUUUGGCGCACCACGUGUCAUCUCUCCCUCCCGCGACAUCGAAUCUACGUUUGAAGAAAGGGUAGGAGCGAGAAGUCAUCGUUAUUCAAAGAUCACGGACGCGUCUCAAUUUCCUUGAGAGAAGUUUCCGCUUUGUGGACCCCAGUCAAAUACGCGUGGAAAGAGGGCUCCCGUUCACUCUAAGUAUUUUCCCAGCUUCUCGAGCCUUUGAACGCGAAUCCCCUACAUUUUUCCAACUCUUCCUCCUCCUCCUUGCCUCCUCCUCCGUCCACCCCCUGUUCCGUUGGCCUGGUAAAUCUGCGCUAAAGCGUAAACGUAUUUCAGGCCUUCGAGAUCCAGCGAGACGUGAAUGUAGCGUGGGGUAGCGUGGAAAAAGUGCGGCCAAAUCGUUUCCCCGACGGCACACGGAUCGCUGCAAAGAGAUUAUCUCGACUAUAUUAAUUCAUCGUGGAAACAGCGAUUACAUCGUGGGAGAAGAUCAAAUAGUAUUAGGUAAUCCCGAUCUAAUCCCGUCUUAGAGCUUGCUCGACUUAACUCGGACCUAACAUACCCGUUCUCGAGCACCGUUCUCUUGCAGUUUGUUCCUUCAACCAGGAACGUUGGACUCUCGAACGCUGCGAAGAAAUUUACUUAGCUUUUCGCUAUGAGAGAGGAGGGAGAAAAAGAGAU